UACGAAGGGUGCAAGCGUUACUCGGAAUUACUGGGCGUAAAGCGUGCGUAGGUGGUUUGUUAAGUCUGUUGUGAAAGCCCCGGGCUCAACCUGGGAAUGGCAAUGGAUACUGGCAGGCUAGAGUGUGUCAGAGGAUGGUGGAAUUCCCGGUGUAGCGGUGAAAUGCGUAGAGAUCGGGAGGAACAUCAGUGGCGAAGGCGGCCAUCUGGGACAACACUGACGCUGAAGCACGAAAGCGUGGGGAGCAAACAGG
rnacentral:rRNA from 1 species